CUGGGCGUAAAGCGUGCGUAGGCGGUUUAUUAAGUCAGAUGUGAAAGCCCCGGGCUUAACCUGGGAACUGCAUUUGAAACUGGUCAACUAGAGUAUGGUAGAGGAAAGUGGAAUUUCUGGUGUAGCGGUGAAAUGCGUAGAUAUCAGAAGGAACAUCAAUGGCGAAGGCAGCUGUCUGGACCAAUACUGACGCUGAGGUACGAAAGCGUGGGUAGCAAACAGGAUUAGAUACCCUGGUAGUCCACGCCGUAAACGAUGAUAACUAGCCGUUGGGGGGAUUUACCCUUUAGUGGCGAAGCUAACGCGUUAAGUUAUCCGCCUGGGGAGUACGGCCGCAAGGUUAAAACUCAAAGGAAUUGACGGGGACCCGCACAAGCGGUGGAGCAUGUGGUUUAAUUCGAUGCAACGCGAAGAACCUUACCUGGUCUUGACAUCCUGCGAACUUUCUAGAAAUAGAUUGGUGCCUUCGGGAACGCAGUGACAGGUGCUGCAUGGCUGUCGUCAGCUCGUGUCGUGAGAUGUUGGGUUAAGUCCCGUAACGAGCGCAACCCCUAUCCUUAUUUGCCAGCACGUCAUGGUGGGAACUAUAAGGAGACUGCCGGUGAUAAACCGGAGGAAGGCGGGGACGACGUCAAGUCAUCAUGGCCCUUACGACCAGGGCUACACACGUGCUACAAUGGGAAGGUCAAAGAGCCGCGAAGCCGCGAGGUGUAGCUAAUCUCAGAAACCUUUUCGUAGUCCGGAUUGGAGUCUGCAACUCGACUCCAUGAAGUCGGAAUCGCUAGUAAUCGUAGAUCAGAAUGCUACGGUGAAUACGUUCCCGGGUCUUGUACACACCGCCCGUCAUACCAUGGGAGUGGGUUGCACCAGAAGUGGCUAGUCUAACUUAG
rnacentral:rRNA from 1 species